UACGGGGGGGGCAAGCGUUGUUCGGAAUUACUGGGCGUAAAGGGCUCGUAGGCGGCCAACUAAGUCGGAUGUGAAAUCCCCAGGCUCAACCUGGGAACUGCAUCCGAUACUGGAUGGCUUGAAUUCGGGAGAGGGAUGCAGAAUUCCAGGUGUAGCGGUGGAAUGCGCAGAUAUCAGGAGGAACACCGAUGGCGAAGGCAGGUCUCUGGGCCGCAACUGACGCUGAGGAGCGAAAGCAUGGGGAGCGAACAGG
rnacentral:rRNA from 1 species